UUUCCUAUUGAUGUGCCUCUGACCAAAUUACGUGCCAUCAUUACGCGGGUAACACGUAAAAGACUAGUGUUAUUCAUCUUUAAUAGGUUUAAAGGGUACCUAGUCGGUAAAUCAAGUCCGAUAAGGAUACUAAUUUUCUAGAGUUUAAUGUGAGGGGGCACUAAAGUACUUGAUAAGUGUAGAGAUGAAAUUCUGUGAUACAAUAUACGGCACUGGCAAAGGCGAAAGCAUCUCAUUAUGUAAUAACUGACGUUGAGGGACGAAGGCUAGGUGUAGCAAAAAGGAUUAGAUACCCAAGUAGUCUUAGCAGAAAAUUAUGAAUGUCAUAGGAUAGAAAAAUAGACAAAAAUUUUUUUUCUAUAAAUGAAAGUGUAAGCAUUCCACCUCGAGAGUAAUUUGGCAACAUUGGAACUGAAAUCAUUAGACCGUUUCUGAAACAAGUAGUGAAGUAUGUUGUUUAAUUUGAUGGUCCGCAAAAAACCUUACCACAAUUUGAAUAGAAAAUUUCUUUUCAUACAAGCGCUGCACGGUUGUCUUCAGUUAAUGUCGUG
rnacentral:rRNA from 1 species